rnacentral:rRNA from 1 species
CCUACGGGAGGCAGCAGUGGGGAAUUUUGGACAAUGGGCGAAAGCCUGAUCCAGCAAUGCCGCGUGCAGGACGAAGGCCUUCGGGUUGUAAACUGCUUUUGUACGGAACGAAACGGUCUCUUUUAAUACAGGGGGCUAAUGACGGUACCGUAAGAAUAAGCACCGGCUAACUACGUGCCAGCAGCCGCGGUAAUACGUAGGGUGCGAGCGUUAAUCGGAAUUACUGGGCGUAAAGCGUGCGCAGGCGGUUAUAUAAGACAGAUGUGAAAUCCCCGGGCUCAACCUGGGACCUGCAUUUGUGACUGUAUAGCUAGAGUACGGUAGAGGGGGAUGGAAUUCCGCGUGUAGCAGUGAAAUGCGUAGAUAUGCGGAGGAACACCGAUGGCGAAGGCAAUCCCCUGGACCUGUACUGACGCUCAUGCACGAAAGCGUGGGGAGCAAACAGGAUUAGAUACCCCGGUAGUC